UUAGUCUGAGUGGAUUCACUUCUCAUCAGCUUAGGUUGAUUCAGUUGAUAAUUUUUUUUUGCAUUUUAGUCUUCUGCCAUUAGAUUGUUAUUCGUGACAAAUUAAUCUUGGAUAUGUGGUCCAGAACAUCAUUCUUAGGCAUUCUGGGUAAUUUCCUCAAAUGAGUCAAACUUACUCAAAGGAAGUUUUAUUCAUUUAAGGAAACCUGAUUUCCAAUUUUGUUGUUCCAAUAUUUUCUUGACAUUGAUGGUGGGAGAAGGAAAUUCUAAAUGCAAUACGUGCGAGUCUCGAGACUUUUUAUUUGUCUUCUUCUUUUAACACACUACUUAUCUUUACAUUCCAUCUUUUCCUUUCUUUCUUUUUUCCUUAAUUUCCUUAUUUUUAACCACUGAUUGAGCAAUGGGAUUCUCAGCUUUUUCAAAACCGAAAAUGAAUAAUAUAGGAAAUGGAAAGGUGAGAAUGAUUUUUUCUUCUUUUUUCUAUUUUCAUCUUUAAGCAAAAGAAAUGAUUAGAGUGUUGUGUUUUAUGAGAUUUUUUCCAUAACUAUAGGACAUGAUCAUUUUUAUCAGAAUUUAGAUUCGUUUCUGUCAUCCUGUUUAUUAGUGCUAGAUAUUUUAUGCUUCUUUUGUGAUCGAAUUUGUGAACUUUUUUGUAUGUUUGGCUUUUGUUUUCUUUUAUUUUCUAAAUUUUGUCGGCGUUUCAAAGGCGUUGUUUAGUUGUGAUCUAUGAUGAAUGAUAGGAAUGAAUGCCUAAUAAUAUUCGUGUGCUUUGUGGAAAAACAGAGGAAAGGGAAGAAAAAGUAAAAAUGGGAAUCUAGCAUUCAAAAACUUUUAUAUUCUUAUUCCUGUUUUAGAAACACUUGCUUUCGUCGGACAAAAAUAAUCAAUUGAUCAACUAUUGUUGGGGUUAUUCUGAAUUGUGUGAUGAUCUAUUGUUGUUAAUGUUUGUUUUUUUAAUUUUCUGUUUUUGUACGUUCAUAUGUUUUUAUGUUAAUUUUGUGUAAUAUAUAUUGAUUUGAUAAUUUCAUGUUAGAGAUAUUAGGGUUGUUUGUUUGUUUAUAAUCUUCUUAGCUGACACCGUGUUUACAAAAAGCGUUUUAAGAUGAAAAAUUUACAUGUAACGAAGGGGCUUUUGCCUUCAAUGGAGCAAAUUUCGAAUUGAAAAAACAAUUUUUAUCAACAAAAAUCAAUCAAGCAUAGAAACAUAUAAUAUAAACAUCAUAAUUGUCUUACAGUACAUUAUUUUGUAAAGAUUAUGAUGAGAUAAUAUAGCUUUGAUUGAGAAUGUUUUGGAAUCCUUAGAACUCUGUGUAUGUGUGCGUGUGUGUGUCUGUGUAAGACAAAGUUGCCUUGCACACCAUCUUCGACAUAACUCAUCAUAGCUUUGAUUAGGAAAUCAUUGAACCUCUCCUCUGCCGUCAACCAAGCUUGAGUGCUUAUUUGAGAAGAACACUCAUGUCAAGAAAAUCCUUCUUGACGGCAUAACUUAUCAAUAUGGAGUACAAGAAUGAUUUGAGUGUAACUGAGCAUUUGUUUUCAGUCAAUUAAAAAUAUGAAAACUACUUUUGUGCCUAAUACCUUUUUUCCAAAUUUGCCUUGCGAUGGUCACGCAUUUAAACUGAUGUUUUGGCUUUAGAUGCAUCUGAUGUUUUCACUUUAGAUAGAUAUAUGAAGAAGUGCUUCUUCUUUUUUCAGUUUUCUCAUCGUUUUUCUCUUUUUUCUUUAUUAACCAUGUCUUCUUUUGAUGUUUUGUAGGUGGUAUUUUGCUGGUUCAGAUCAAACUGUUAGGUUCUUGCUUUUGGUUUUGUUAAGCAAGGGGUGAGUUUCUUGGUUGUAAUAAAUUAGUAGAAAUUAAUUGUUUUCCGUUAUCCAAUGAAUCAUAAACAUUGUUUUGAAGCAUCAGACAAAUUACUUUUUGAUGUUUUAUCGCAUUUGAACAAUUCAAAUGGAAAUGCUCUAUUUGGUGACAAGCUUUUUUUUGUUAGGCGGUGAUUUUAGACAAAUAUUACCAGUUAUUCCAAGAGGAACAAGAGAAUAAAUAAUAAAUGCCUUUCUUAACAGUUCCUAUUUAUGGUUUUUUUUAAAAAUAUUUCAUUUAAAAGAAAAUAUGAGGUUGUCAAAAAAAUGGAUUAAGCACCGAAGAAAAACAGAAAAUAAGUGAUUUUGCAUAUUGGAUUUUGCGCAUCGGUGAUGGCCAAAUUGUUGAUAUAGAUGAUCCAACAUCCUAUUCAUUCAAUUUUUGCGCAUCCUAAAGAUUUACUCAUUCAUUUAUGCACAUAUCCUAUUCAUUCAAUUUUUGCAGCAACAUACCCAGAUUUUGACAAAAUCUUUCUAAGUGAUGUUGAAGCUGAAAACAAAUAUGAGAAAACAGUUACUGUGCAAACCAGAGAAGAAAACGUCUCAGAUUCUGACAAUUUACCAAUUAUCAGUUUGAAGAAGAAAAUAUAGUCCAAGGCAGUUUCGAAAUCGCCUCUCCUACUCCGACAUCAAAGUUUGUGCUCUUUCCUUUUCAAUUCAUUCAUCUCGCUGACACACACAUUACACACAAAAUAUUUCAUUGUUAUUUCUCAUGUUUACCUAUUAAACUUAAUUCUAUCAUAAUAAUUAAUACUUGCUAUUUUUUGACUUUAUGCCAACAGAGCUAAAACCUCUGAAAAAGAGAAAAAAGGGCAUCAGCCAACCAAACAACAAAUGCAGCAACAACAAAAGCCCUUUACCAAAAACAUCAAAGAAGAAAAAUCCAUGUCCACCACCCAUUAAAAUAUAGAUAAAAGCAUGUACAAGUUUUUUUUUUAACAAUACGCAACUUAAGGCUGCUCAUAUUUUGAUGUUUUAAUAGCUGCUUGAUAUAUUAAAAUAUGCACAAUAUUUUAAUAUAACAAGCAGUAUAUAAAACAUGAUGUUAGUUUAUGUUUUGCAACAUAAGCUUGCCAAACUCAUGAUGACACUGUUUACAUCUCAAUGUAUAUAUAAAUAGGCCAAACUCAUAAUAGCACUGUUUACAUCCCCUCAACUUUUUAAUAGAUUAAUGACUUGCUGAUGGAUUUCUGAAUAUGCUGUUGAAUCCUUUCAUUCCUUGCUCAAAUUGAUUCUGUAAUGAUUUUGCUGCUGUAAUGGGUUGUUAAUUUGUUGUUGUAAUGAUAGGUUUAAAUGAUUACAAUAUAUGAGCAUGUUGGUGAAUCCUUUAAGUGUUUUGGUAAUUAGAUACUUGAGAACUCCCAACAUGGGGAGAGAGUGACAAUGCGUAACUGAUUGAAGGGAAAAAGAUGAUGACUUUCUCUUUGUGUGUACUACCAUUGUUUCAUAUUGCAUGACAGCUA
rnacentral:lncRNA from 1 species